AUUGAACGCUGGCGGCAUGCUUUACACAUGCAAGUGGAUGGCAGUUGCGAACGGGUGAGUAACGCGUAGGUAACUGCCUGGUAGCGGGGGAUAACUAUUGGAAACGAUAGCUAAUACCGCAUACUACCAGAUGGACCUGCGUUGUAUUAGCUAGUUGGUGGGGUAACGGCUCACCAAGGCAACGAUACAUAGCCGACCUGAGAGGGUGAUCGGCCACACUGGGACUGAGACACGGCCCAGACUCCUACGGGAGGCAGCAGUGGGGAAUUUUGGACAAUGGGCGCAAGCCUGAUCCAGCCAUGCCGCGUGUCUGAAGAAGGCCUUCGGGUUGUAAAGGACUUUUGUCAGGGAAGCGGUACCUGAAGAAUAAGCACCGGCUAACUACGUGCCAGCAGCCGCGGUAAUUC
rnacentral:rRNA from 1 species